CGGUAUUCUGGCUCAGGAUGAACGCUGGCGGCGUGCCUAACACAUGCAAGUCGAACGGAGUUUACUCGCUGAUGAAGCUUCGGCAGAAUCUUGAGUAAACUUAGUGGCGGACGGGUGGGUAACACGUGAGCAACCUGCCUUUCAGAGAGGGAUAGCUUCUGGAAACGGAUGGUAAUACCUCAUAACAUAUUGAUACGGCAUCGUAUUAAUAUCAAAGAUUUAUCGCUGAAAGAUGGGCUCGCGUCUGAUUAGCUGGUUGGUGAGGUAACGGCCCACCAAGGCAACGAUCAGUAGCCGGACUGAGAGGUUGAACGGCCACAUUGGGACUGAGACACGGCCCAGACUCCUACGGGAGGCAGCAGUGGGGAAUAUUGCACAAUGGGCGCAAGCCUGAAUGCAGCGAUGCCGCGUGAGGGAAGAAGGUUUUCGGAUUGUAAACCUCUGUCAUCGGGGACGAAAAUGACGGUACCCGAGAAGGAAGCUCCGGCUAACUACGUGCCAGCAGCCGC
rnacentral:rRNA from 1 species